AAGACCUUGCGCUUUUGGAGCGGCCGAUGCCUGAUUAGCUUGUUGGUAAGGUAAAAGCUUACCAAGGCUUCGAUCAGUAGCUGGUCUGAGAGGACGACCAGCCACACUGGGACUGAGACACGGCCCAGACUCCUACGGGAGGCAGCAGUGGGGAAUUUUGGACAAUGGGGGCAACCCUGAUCCAGCCAUGCCGCGUGAGUGAAGAAGGCCUUCGGGUUGUAAAGCUCUUUCAGCCGGAACGAAACGGUUACGGAUAACACCCGUGACUACUGACGGUACCGGAAGAAGAAGCACCGGCUAACUACGUGCCAGCAGCCGCGGUAGUACGUAGGGUGCGAGCGUUAAUCGGAAUUACUGGGCGUAAAGCGUGCGCAGGUGGUUUUGUAAGUCAGAUGUGAAAGCCCCGGGCUCAACCUGGGAACU
rnacentral:rRNA from 1 species